UUUCCAGUGGCAAACUAAACUGCUUAAGCUCCUCAAAACCACAUGGCUCACUUUGCUUUGGCCCGGUUCCAGAGUCCUGUUCCAUUUCCGCACCUCUUUCCGAUCCAGGGAUUGCGUCACAUUCAAACACAAGACAAAGACGAGGUAAAGUGGAGCAAGAACAUUGCAUUCUACACUACGGGCAAAUGCAUAUCUUGAUGUAAUUGGAGGAACAAGUGAAGGAGAGAGAAGGAGGCUGGAAUGGCGGGGAGGAGGAAGGGUGCAGGAGGGAGAGAACAAUGCAAGUGAGCCUUGGAAAGGAGCUCGCGAAUCCUCUGAGGAACUGCGGUCUCAGGUUUUACUGCAGAUGAAUGGAAUACCUGUGGCGGGAAGAAAGGCGGAUAACACAAAGAGGCAGAUGAAGAUUCAUAUUAAUAUAAAAAAGGAAAUGUCGACCUCAGAGAGAAAACAGAGCAGAAACUACGGCAAACGAAGAAACAGUGAAAUGGUGUUUCCGCUGGCCGUACCUCAGGGGAGGAAGCGCUUUCAUUUAUCCUUGUGACCCUGGAUCAUAACAUGUCCCCACAGCCCGGUGCAAUUACAGCACCAGCAGCAGGUCCGGACAAAGCGGUUUCCCGAAGGCAGGAUAGCCGAGGCCCAGGUGCUUCCAGCCCCGGCCGCAGACUUUGGCUCUAGCGUCUUCACACUUAAUUGUCAGAGAGGGGCCUCGAACCAUCAUCGAGUCUCACACACACACACGCACACACGCACACACACGCCUUUCCAAAUGCAGACGUUCACUGCUAUUGUUGUUUCUCUCCCUAUUUGUUUGUGCACCGGAAGCCCUUUAAACUACAUUUAACAACAUUCUGUAGGAAGCGCUGAGCCAAAAAUUCUGUAUUUUCGACUAUGUAUGGGUGGAAACUUGCUGAAACGGUUCAGGCUCUAUGCCUUGUCGCAGGAAUCUCAGAACGUUUGUUCAGAAAGCCCGGGCUAUGCAAUUGACUUGUAAUGUUGAGCUACUUACAAUUAUUUAGCCAUCUAUAUA